AUGCGCACCCAUUUCAAGUGGGCGCGCGCUUUCCUAGCGAGAAAAUGAGAUGACUCGAGGAAAAGUGCGGGUGCACUGUGUCAUAGUUACAAAAAAAAAAAAAAAAAAUGUGCCGGGGCGUCAAGAAAUAGAUUUGACGGCCCUGUUUCCGGUUUCAAUAUGAACUGGAAGAGAAUCCGGAAGUGUGGCCUUUUUAUCUCUCUCGACUCCACAUUAGUGACAACAUCGUCUGACCUUCGCUCUGGCACCCGCCAUUAAAGCAACAAGUAGUGGAUAUUUCAACAAUAACCACGAUAAGAGGGCGUUUCAAAGACGAAAAUCGCCUCCGUUUGGACGGCAGAGUGAAACCGGAAGUGCAGCGGCGAAAGAACCCGAAGAGCCAAAAUGGCGUCGUUUCCUUCUGAGUGGUGCUGCCUUCGCGUGAUGCGGGAGAUUCGCCAUUCCACAGAGUUGCUGCGUCAACGUAGACAAUCGUGCGAAAGCGUUAUAGCCGUAGCGUCAUCGCCCGACCGUCAUCGUCUAAUCGUCUGACCGUCAUCGUCAUCAUUUGACCGUCGCAGUCAUUGUCAUCGUCUGACCGUCGUCGUCAUUGUCUGAUCGACAUGGUCGUCACCUGAUUGUCAUCGUCUGACCGUCACCGCCAUCGUCUGAUCGUCAUCAUUUGACCGUCGCAGUCAUUGUCAUCGUCUGACCGUCGUCGUCAUUGUCUGAUCGACAUGGUCGUCACCUGAUUGUCAUCGUCUGACCGUCACCGCCAUCGUCUGACCGUCAUCGUCAUCAUUUGACCGUGGCAGUCAUUGUCAUCGUCUGACCGUCGUCGUCAUUGUCUGAUCGACAUGGUCGUCACCUGAUUGUCAUCGUCUGACCGUCACCGCCAUCGUCUGAUCGUCAUCAUUUGACCGUGGCAGUCAUUGUCAUCGUCUGACCGUCGUCGUCAUUGUCUGAUCGACAUGGUCGUCACCUGAUUGUCGUCGUCUGACCGCCACCGUCACCGCCAUCGUCUGAUUGUCAUCGUCAUCAUUGACCGUCGCAGUCAUUGUCAUCGCCUGACCGUCGUCGUCAUUGUCUGAUCGACAUGGUCGUCACCUGAUUGUCAUCGUCUGACCGUCACCGCCAUCGUCUGACCGUCAUCGUCAUCAUUUGACCGUGGCAGUCAUUGUCAUCGUCUGACCGUCGUCGUCAUUGUCUGAUCGACAUGGUCGUCACCUGAUUGUCGUCGUCUGACCGCCACCGUCACCGCCAUCGUCUGAUUGUCAUCGUCAUCAUUGACCGUCGCAGUCAUUGUCAUCGCCUGACCGUCGUCGUCAUUGUCUGAUCGACAUGGUCGUCACCUGAUUGUCGUCGUCUGACCGCCACCGUCACCGCCAUCGUCUGAUUGUCAUCGUCAUCAUUGAC